GGCAACUUGGCCGAGCUGGUUAAGGCGUUAGACUCAAGGACAUAACUCCCUGGCCUCAAAAGAGGCUGUAUUCUAAUCACGAAAGUGGCGUGAGUUCGAAUCUCACAGUUGUCA
rnacentral:tRNA from 1 species